AUAAAAGAUCUUUAGCUUAAGUCUGUUGUUUCUUUUUUUCUAAUCUCAGGUACAUGAUCCUAGCAUUGAUUGGUGAGAAAGGCUGGAACUACAGAAAGAGAGCCAAAAGCUCCUACACAAGCUUCCAAAGCUAGACUCCAAUGAGGCCAUGAGAGCAGCAAAGCUUGCAAAGCUAGACUCCUUAAGUAGAUUUGUGGAUGUAUAUUGCUAGGAAAGUAGUAUUAGAUGUACUCAUUUUGUGGAUGAAAGGUUGCCUUUGCACAAUCUAUUUUGGUGCAUGAUGUGGAUUAUAUAUAACAAUUUCUUCUAUAUAUUGAUCAACUACUGUUAAUUUGAUCA